rnacentral:lncRNA from 1 species
ACACUUAUGACUUAUGAGAAGGCAGCAAGGGUAUGUGGUGUACUCAGCGGCGAAGGGAGACAAGCAGUAGCCAUGGUCUUCUCUAAGUUUUAUAAUUAGUUCAGUUCAGAGUUAAAAAUAUAUAGUCAAUUAAUUACUUUAUUAUAGCUUCAUAAUUAGUUGAUUUCUAAACAAUUUUCACAUGAAAAUAUUAGUUGGGAAAUGUUUGAUGCCCGAGUGUAAUGUGUG